rnacentral:rRNA from 1 species
UACGUAGGGGGCAAGCGUUGUCCGGAUUUAUUGGGCGUAAAGAGCGUGUAGGCGGCUUUGCAAGUCCGUUGUGAAAACUCGAGGCUCAACCUCGAGACGCCGGUGGAAACUGCAAAGCUAGAGUCCGGAAGAGGAGAGUGGAAUUCCUGGUGUAGCGGUGAAAUGCGCAGAUAUCAGGAGGAACACCGAUUGCGAAGGCAGCUCGCUGGGACGUGACUGACGCUGAGACGCGAAAGCGUGGGGAGCAAACGGG